rnacentral:rRNA from 1 species
GCGUAACGCGUAUGCAAUCUACCUUUUACAGAGGGAUAGCCCAGAGAAAUUUGGAUUAAUACCUCAUAGUAUAUAGCCCUGGCAUCAGGAUUAUAUUAAAGUCACAACGGUAAAAGAUGAGCAUGCGUCCCAUUAGCUAGUUGGUAAGGUAACGGCUUACCAAGGCUACGAUGGGUAGGGGUCCUGAGAGGGAGAUCCCCCACACUGGUACUGAGACACGGACCAGACUCCUACGGGAGGCAGCAGUGAGGAAUAUUGGACAAUGGGCGCAAGCCUGAUCCAGCCAUGCCGCGUGCAGGAUGACGGUCCUAUGGAUUGUAAACUGCUUUUAUACGAGAAGAAACACUCCAACGUGUUGGAGCUUGACGGUAUCGUAAGAAUAAGGAUCGGCUAACUCCGUGCCAGCAGCCGCGGUAAUACGGAGGAUCCAAGCGUUAUCCGGAAUCAUUGGGUUUAAAGGGUCCGUAGGCGGUUUAAUAAGUCAGUGGUGAAAGCCCAUCGCUC